rnacentral:rRNA from 1 species
AUUUAAGUUGUUGCAGUUAAAAAGCUCGUAGUCGGAUUUUGGCUGAGAACGGUCGGUCCGCCGUUAGGUGUGCACUGACUGGUCUCAGCUUCCUGGUGAGGAGGUGUGCUUCAUCGCCACUUAGUCACCGUGGUUACUUUGAAAAAAUUAGAGUGUUCAAAGCGGGCUUACGCUUGAAUAUAUUAGCAUGGAAUAACACCAUAGGACUCCUGUCCUAUUUCGUUGGUCUCGGGACGGGAGUAAUGAUUAAGAGGAACAGUUGGGGGCAUUCGUAUUUCAUUGUCAGAGGUGAAAUUCUUGGAUUUAUGAAAGACGAACUUCUGCGAAAGCAUUUGCCAAGGAUGUUUUCAUUGAUCAAGAACGAAAGUUGGGGGCUCGAAGAUGAUUAGAUACCAUCCUAGUCUCAACCAUAAACGAUGCCGACUAGGGAUUGGCGGAUGUUAAUUGAUGACUUCGCCAGCACCUUAUGAGAAAUCAAAGUUUUUGGGUUCCGGGGGGAGUAUGGUCGCAAGGCUGAAACUUAAAGGAAUUGACGGAAGGGCACCACCA